rnacentral:lncRNA from 1 species
UAUUAUAUAGUAAAGCCCAAGAAAUGGCGCUAGUCGUCUAUUCCAACUAUAUCAUAUUUUGUAUUAUUAUUGUCAGACCAUGCAUAACUUAUUGCUCAAGUAACCGCCUCGUAGCCUUAAGAAGGAUUUGGUAGGGUUUUUUUUUUUUUUAAUUUGAUUAGGUAGAGUUUUUUUAAAAUGGUAUAGACGUAUAGGUAGUAUACUAGUAUUGAUGGUGCGCACACGUAAUAUAUAACUCCAUAUUAAAGUAACAGAACAAAAUUAAACUAUUAGUAUAGGAAUAGAAUCUUAAACCCAGAGGUCGACGAAUCAAAAGAGUCGUGAGGAUCACCCACUCGAAUCUCUUUUGUCAAGAUUUGAAGUUCCA